AUUGAACGCUGGCGGCAGGCCUAACACAUGCAAGUCGAGCGGAUGAAGGGAGCUUGCUCCUGGAUUCAGCGGCGGACGGGUGAGUAAUGCCUAGGAAUCUGCCUGGUAGUGGGGGAUAACGUCCGGAAACGGGCGCUAAUACCGCAUACGUCCUGAGGGAGAAAGUGGGGGAUCUUCGGACCUCACGCUAUCAGAUGAGCCUAGGUCGGAUUAGCUAGUUGGUGGGGUAAAGGCCUACCAAGGCGACGAUCCGUAACUGGUCUGAGAGGAUGAUCAGUCACACUGGAACUGAGACACGGUCCAGACUCCUACGGGAGGCAGCGGUGGGGAAUAUUGGACGAUGGGCGAAAGCCUGAUCCAGCCAUGCCGCGUGUGUGAAGAAGGUCUUCGGAUUGUAAAGCACUUUAAGUUGGGAGGAAGGGCAGUAAGUUAAUACCUUGCUGUUUUGACGUUACCAACAGAAUAAGCACCGGCUAGCUUCGUG
rnacentral:rRNA from 1 species